rnacentral:lncRNA from 1 species
CUCUCCGAACAGAGUGACAGGCUGGCCCAACAGACGCAGGCGGCGGAUGACCUCCUCCCUGUCCAGCUCUACUUCCUUUGCACCGCUCUCAUGACGUUGCAGGCUGCGGCCGUCCUGCUCUGACCGGCUCCUUUUCCUCUCCUCCUGGUGAAGAAUGGCACGACCAUCUUUGGAAAGGUCCAAGAAGUGGACACAGCAAAAUACCAAAUUUUUUGCAAGAAACAACGAGGGUCAAGAAGCCACCGACCACGCAUUCAGGUGUAGUGAGGACUCACCUUUUCUUCCAACUCCUUGUGUUCUUCCUCCCUCAAGCGCUUCAGCCGAAGGUCUUCGAGCUCAGAUUGUUUCACAAAUUUUCGAUCUCCCAAUUUUGCAGUGGGCGUAUCCUUACGUUUCUUGUCCAGUAGUGCUUUCAAGGCAUCCAUCUGCCAGAUCUCUAAGUGAAGAGUCCGCGAUCGGAUUUAUAGCAGUAUUCUCCAGUGACCUAUGUCUGGAAAUGAAAAAUUCCAAGACGAGUUCACAAUCCUGUGAAAUACGGCUUGUUAAGAGCAACUGUUCAGGAAUGACUUUGUGCGAUUACUACUUUAGUCCUCUCUGACGUUCUUUCUCAGGGCAGCAGUCUGAUCAUUUGUUAACCAUCAGUUUCUAGAUCGUGGCCUCAAAUGUCAAAUAUGCAAUGUAAAUUUC